rnacentral:rRNA from 1 species
AGCUAAUACCGCAUAACGUCGCAAGACCAAAGAGGGGGACCUUCGGGCCUCUUGCCAUCGGAUGUGCCCAGAUGGGAUUAGCUAGUAGGUGGGGUAACGGCUCACCUAGGCGACGAUCCCUAGCUGGUCUGAGAGGAUGACCAGCCACACUGGAACUGAGACACGGUCCAGACUCCUACGGGAGGCAGCAGUGGGGAAUAUUGCACAAUGGGCGCAAGCCUGAUGCAGCCAUGCCGCGUGUAUGAAGAAGGCCUUCGGGUUGUAAAGUACUUUCAGCGGGGAGGAAGGGAGUAAAGUUAAUACCUUUGCUCAUUGACGUUACCCGCAGAAGAAGCACCGGCUAACUCCGUGCCAGCAGCCGCGGUAAUACGGAGGGUGCAAGCGUUAAUCGGAAUUACUGGGCGUAAAGCGCACGCAGGCGGUUUGUUAAGUCAGAUGUGAAAUCCCCGGGCUCAACCUGGGAACUGCAUCUGAUACUGGCAAGCUUGAGUCUCGUAGAGGGGGGUAGAAUU